rnacentral:rRNA from 1 species
AUGAAGAAGUCGUUCUGCUUCCGCGGCUCCGCUGCGAAGAGGGCAGGACGGACGCCGAUGGCGGACUGGUGCGUCUUCUGCGACAUCGCCCGCCGCGCCCCCGCUUCCACCGCCGCUCUCCUCUACUCCGAUGACAAGGUCGUCGCGUUCCAGGACAUCAAUCCGUCCGCGUUCAGGCACUAUCUUGUCAUACCCAUCGAGCAUAUACCAACUGUAAAAAAUCUCCAAAGAACCAACGAAGAUCACCAGUUAGUUAGUCACAUGGUGAAGGUGGGAAAAGAUUUACUCAGUCGAGAUGCUCCCAAAUCUGAGGAACAUAGAUUUGGUUUUCAUCAGCCACCAUUUAAUAGUAUUGAUCACCUCCAUCUUCACUGCCUGGCACUGCCAUUUAUACCCAGUUGGAGGCAAGUAAAAUAUACACCAUUGGGUCCCUUAGGGGGCUUUAUUGAUGCUGAGAAGGUAUUGGAAAAAAUAAAACCAGAAACAGAAGUGUACAGUUAA